GCCUACAACCGCAUGCCCGUAGGCGCGCGGAGACCUUUACUCUCCUACGUUGGUGUCUGCACGGGCUAAAAAACAAAAGAAGAAAAAAACAAGUGCUGAAUGACGCGCGUAACGGCUGUCGGCAGACAAGCAUCGGCCACCGAGCGACAGCCACGUCCAACCAUCGGCACCAGGCGCCUUGCGGGCCGACCGCUCUUGCAACGCAGUAAAUCCCUGUCCUAUCCAUGGCCAGUAUGGUCGGCAAGGCCACCUUGGCAGGCGUCACACUCCUUACUAUCGUGAUGCUGGUGGCAACCGUGGCCCAGGCCUGCGACCCUUCGGAGUGCAACUCUCGGUGCAUUGGCGACGGCGGACGCUCGGGCCGGUGCAUCGGGCGCGUCUGCCAGUGCAGACAACACGGCAAACGCAGCGUCGAUAGUCACCUGCGCACGUGGCCAAAGUACAGGAUUGCGUCAUGAAGUGUGCGGACACUUAUGUGGUGUUGCCAGCGUUCAAUAAAUACGUGUUUCGAUCAUCGUA
rnacentral:lncRNA from 1 species